UAGAAUACACUGGGUACAGAAAUGGCAGCCUUUUAGUAAAGGUUUCUUCAGGACGUUUCCUUGUUUUGGAAGCGUCCCGUGCCCGGCGCCCAGCUCAGCUCUCUGCUUGCACUGCUGCGCUCAAACCUACUCGGGACCCCACGACGUAGCCGCUUCAUCCCCAUCUUCCAAAUGAAAAAGCGGAGGCUUGGAGAGGCUCAGGAUCGUACAGCUGAUUUGUUGAUCAAAUACUACGUGAAAGAUAACCCGGAAUCUUCACUGCUGUAUCUCACGUCCAGAACCAUCCUUGGCAUAACAAUAAAAAGUAACAACAUUA